GAUGGCAGUGACGACUUGGUGAUAUUCAAGCUCAACAGACCAAAUCACAUGUCAAUCUCUUUAGAUGAGAUUAACCUAUAUGUUCCUUUUUUCACAGGAGAAGACCCAUU
rnacentral:snoRNA from 2 species